rnacentral:rRNA from 1 species
GACGAACGCUGGCGGCGUGCUUAACACAUGCAAGUCGAACGGAAAGGCCCUGCUUUUGUGGUGUGCUCGAGUGGCGAACGGGUGAGUAACACGUGAGUAACCUGCCCUUGACUUUGGUAUAACUUCAGGAAACUGGGGCUAAUACCGUAUAGCAGCUCCUGCUGCAUGGUGGGGGUUGGAACGUUUCGGCGGUUGGGGAUGGACUCGCGGCUUAUCAGCUUGUUGGUUGGGUAGUGGCUUACCCAGGCUUUGACGGGUAGCCGGCCUGAGAGGGUGACCGGCGACAAUGGGACUGAGAUACGGCCCAGACGCAUACGGGAGGCAGCAGGGGGGAAUAUUGCACAAUGGGCGGAAGCCUGAGGCAGAAACGCCGCGUGCGGGAUGACGGCCUUCGGGUUGUAAACCGCUGUCGCCUGUGACGAAGCGUGAGUGACGGUAAUGGGUAAAGAAGCACCGGCUAACUACGUG